GGUGGGUUGGCUCAGUGGGUAGAGCUAAGGGCUCGUGACCGGGAGGUGCGGGUUCGAAUCUCGCAAGAAGGA
rnacentral:tRNA from 1 species